CUUGCAGUUAUACAGCACGAGAGUGUGCUUGGCGCCGUCCUCCACCAUCUCCACGUCCUGUAGAUCCCGACACACUUCUCAGCACAACGAUCGGGGUUAUGCAUCCAGCAGACGUUCGACUGCCAUUGCAGUACACAGUGCAAACAAAAAAAGUUGUGCUUCGAGCAGAAGUAGGGACUGGCACAACCAUACAAGAUCCCAUUCACCGCCAUCAAAGAAUCAAAUCCAGAUGCGGGUAAAACCUUGCAAGGUUUUAUGCGGCAGGUAAUAAAAACCUGGACUAUUGAACAAACGGUAGAGGAAGAGGAUGAGGAGGAAGAAAGUGCAGGUGUGGGAGCCCCAUUUGUCCAUGCAUGUAAAUUCUGUACAUAGUUUUACUUGUAAAUCAAUUAUUUUUCUGUCAAAAGUACUUUCUCAGUGUUUUUUUAUGUUCAGAUGUUUGAGAUUUUCACUCAAGAAAAAUAGUAUUGGUGUCAAAGUAAUUGUUCUGCUUUAUCUGUUUCCUCAGGUUUUUUCCUUCAGAAACAGAUUUGGCUGAAACUAGCCUAUAUAUUUACUGCUGAUUACUAAGGAAUAGUAUAUGCUAGAGACAAAAAAAAAUUUAUGCUGAAAGAAGAAAGUCUGAUCUUCCUUUUGGUGGUUUUGGUGUUUACAUACUCAUAAUACACAAUAUUCUGUGGGGCUUCAAAAAUGAGUAAAGACUGGCACUCUGGAGGUUCCCUGCUCAGGGAACGGUUGGCAGUGAAUGAGUUAACAUGCUAACAAAGAUAAAAAGUUAGCCUUACUAGUCAACACGUUAAUAAAUACAUUUUAUUAGCUAGAGUAUAUUGGUGGAGAAUGCUCACAAAGGUAAGAUGUUAGCCAUGCUAGUGAACUUGCGAUUAAACACAAAACAUUAGCCAUGCUAGUGAAAAUGUUAAAAAACAUAUCUGUGACGUGUUAUUAGGAUUCCCACAUGGUUUUCAGGCGGGACACACCCUGCUGCAAUAUUAUUGGCUCCAGGACAUGCGCCGCUGCACUAUGAUUGGCUGCUUUAUCCCAGUACAAUAUGCCCUACUGCCUCCAGACGGGAAAAGAAGUAUGUGACUUAAGUGUGGGGGCUUUAAUACGUUUCCCACUAACACAGCCUAAUUCUAACCUUAACCCAUCCUCAACCACCGUAAACCCCAACCCUAGCCCUAAACCUAACUAUAACAAACAUUUUUUCUCUUUCGUUUUUAUUUCGCACAAAUGUGAUACAUUUUUGGAUUGGUCAUCUCGUUACAGCUGCGUAGCCUGCCCUUUCUGCGACGCAUAAGCCAAUCAUGUUGGAAAGAAGCAUGUCCUGCCUGGAAACUAUAGUAUGUGGGAAUCCUAAUCAGGUAGUAGUGACUGUUAACACUUCCUCCAUUUUGUGGUAAGGGUUAACUGACCGGAGAUUUUGAGGAUGAUGUCACAC